AGUUCGUGAAAUUCUUUAGCGUAAAUCAUUCAUUCCCUUGAAUCUCUCUCUCUCUCUCUCUCUCUCUGUAAAUUUCGUCACCGUCUCCUCCAAAUCUAUCUAUCUUCGUCGCCUGAUCUGUCCUCCUCUGCUUCCAUAACAAAGAGGAAACACAAAAGACAAAACAAACAAACAAACAAAAAAUUAGCGAGAGUUCUUUUUUUUAAUUGGUGAAUUAGGAGCGAUGGGACAAGCAUUUCGUAAGCUAUUCGACACAUUCUUCGGCAAUCAAGAGAUGAGGGUGGUAAUGCUGGGGCUGGAUGCAGCUGGCAAAACUACUAUUCUCUACAAACUUCACAUUGGUGAAGUUCUCUCUACUGUUCCCACCAUUGGAUUCAACGUUGAGAAAGUUGAGUACAAGAAUGUGAUGUUCACGGUUUGGGAUGUUGGUGGCCAAGAGAAACUCAGACCUCUUUGGAGGCACUACUUCAAUAACACUGAUGGACUUAUAUACGUGGUAGAUUCUUUGGACCGAGAGAGGCUUGGGAAAGCAAAACAAGAAUUUCAGGAGAUCAUAAAAGACCCAUUCAUGCUCAACAGUAUCAUUCUCGUCUUUGCAAACAAACAAGACAUGAGAGGAGCCAUGUCACCGAGAGAAGUAUGUGAAGGGUUAGGCUAAUUUGAUCUCAAGAACUAUUGAACAUUUGCUCUUUGUCUUGACCUUCUUGAACUCUUGUAAAGUAUUGUGAACCCACACACUCUUUUUCUCUGGAUUUUUCUGUUUUUAUUUGUGUAGAGAUUUCUUUAACAAACCACCUUUUCAUUCAUUCUUGCUUACUUCUUACAACUGAUCACACUUGAGUCUUUAUAGUAGACUUAUUCCUCACGCUAAUCAUGAUUCGUUACUCACUUACACAUAACCCAUACCUCUACUCUUUAGAUCAUUCUUACACUCCAAAGCUUCACUAUUCUAAAACUACUUAACAUCUAUCUUGCCAACUCUCUAGUCAUAUCUGAACUUAGUUAGUUUACUAACCAACUAACUCUUAACUUGUUUAGUUUGACUUCUCUUCUUCCUUCCUUCAUCCAUGAAACUUGAUUAUUCUUCCACUUAGUGGCGGACCCAGACUCAUUUUUAAGGGGUGUCAAAAACUGGGCUUUGGCCCAAUAUUAUAAUAAAUAAAAGAAAUUUAUCCGAAUAAAUACAUGAAGACGUAUUGAACUCGCGUUAUGGUGUGUCGAAAGGAGAUUUACCUGACCAAAUGAGCUACCAAAUCUUCACGGACAUGUACUAAAAUAGUGAACUUUAACAUUUAACCUGUGUCAGGUGACACCCUAUUCACUAACGUAGGUCCGCCACUGCUUCCACUUCUUCUUGCUUGUUUUUCUUAUUCUUAUCACUGUCUUUCACUCUUUCAUUUGCAGGUUUUACUCAAGGAAUCAUUUCUCAACACUCCCUCUUAAUUUCUUGAAUUGUUGCCUAGAUUCUAACUCAGAGUUUUAAGUUUUGAUUCUUCAAGAUAACCAGCUCCUUGGAUACAUACUUCCUCACUUGCCUUUGGAUCAGUGGUGGUUGUGGUUGGUCGCUUGCAUAUCUCCAAGUGAAGACAGAAGCUUUUCUUAACCAUUCCAAUAUCAGCUAUCUUUCUUCUCGAUUUGUCAUGGAUAAUACACCUUUUAUCCUUGAAGGUAACACCAGAGUCGUUUUCAAACAUCUGAGAAACGCUUAGUAUAUUCUUGGCUAUGUUGGGGACUAGGAAAACAUUUCUGAGCAUAUUGAAUAAUUUGUAGAGCUGAUAUAUCUUUGUCUUUGAGUGCUUUUAAGCUUGCCCCUUGCAUAGUCUCCUCCUGGUGUCUCUGUCGAUUUUGAUGGAGGAUCUAGAACUCCAUCUUUUACAACUUCUCACGGUUCUCUGUUCUUCAAGGUGUUUUGCAUUCGAGCUGCCCAGAACUCAUAGUUCUGUCAGCAACCAGUUGAGAUGAUUGUAGGUUUAUCGACAUUUUUCACUUCUAUUAUUCCUUCACUUCUUCUUCUUAUAUUUUGCAUGAACAGGCUCCACAUCUAAGUAUGCUCUGAUACCAUGUUGAACUUUUGCUCUUUGUCUUGAGCUUCUUGAACUCUUGUGAUUUGUGAAGUAUUGUGAACUCACACAUUCUUUUGAU